UUUCUUUUCAUCCCAAACACUUCUCCCUCGCAGAAAAACCCUAAUUUUUCUUUUCUUUUUUCUAUUUGUAUGUGUGUUUUUGUUCGGUGCUUUCUCACUAAAUUAAGUUUUGUUGAUUUCGUUUUUUCAAUUGUUCAGAUCUAUAUAUAACUGGAUUGAAGCAAUUAGGUAUUAAUAUUAGGGUUUCAUGCACUGACAAACAUUAAUCGAGCCAUAUCUUUGAUAUACUAUUCAAUCCUGCUAAUCCAGUUAACAAAAAUAUGGUUCUUCUCUGUUUGGUAAACCCUAACCCUAAACUGUGAUUGCCGGGAAGAUAUCGUCAUGCAUAUUAUUGCACAUGGGAACAUUAAGUGCUUCCAUAUUCAUCUUUAUUUUCAUCCAUGUAUCUUGACCGGAAGUAGCUACCGGAAAAAUAAGGGUUUGAAAUUGUUAGAAUUUUAGCUUGGAUUUCCACCCUUGCUCAAUACAGUGCAAACUGAGUGAAAAAAAGUAAAGAAUCCUAUCUAAGGUAUUACACAUCAUUUCACUUUCCCCACAAUCGACACCACAACAGACUAUGUGAUAGUAAUGCACCUGUAUCCUUGCAUUGGGUAAAAUUUGUGUUAAUGACCAUUCAAUGUGCAUCAGUUGGCAACACAGAGAGCAACUUUGUAUUGUCAUCAAUACGUCAACAAAGUUCAUUCUGGCAAAACCCAUAAACAAAAAAAACACAGUCUUGCACUGACAAACAAGAGAAGCCGCUACGUCGACUGGUGAGAUUUUCUUUUUCUGAUCAACACUGGUUUCCAUUUUUUUGUGUUUUCAAAUAUUGAUCUCUUUGAAUAUAUCUAAUUAGCUUUUGUGUUGUGCUAUAUUAGUUUUUAUAAGGUUAAACUCCAAAAGCCAUAUUUUAAAUUUUGUGUAGUAGAUAUAUGUGAUUUUAUUGAUGAUGGGCAUUCACUGGAUCCAUAACUAGCUGAGUAAUUUGGAGUCAAGACAACUGAUUUAUUCAUGUCAACCUGAUAGCGGUCACCAAAUGCUCAGCCAGAUCAAACUGUAUUUUAACAUUCAGUUGUUGUUGAUACAGUACUAAGGUGCAACCUCUGAGGCAAAAAAAUUCUACUCAAUCAGGUAAUCAAAGCAAAAUUAAAUGUUGAUUAUGGGAGUGUUAGCUAUAAAAGCUAACUGCAUAAUUUAAAUUUCUACAAAUCCUAAACCUUUUGGUGGUUUUAUGAAAUUUGUUAUUUUCGAUUUUAUGUGAGACUUUUGAUGAAAUUUAUAGCUUUUAUUUACUGAUUCAUGUUUGUAUUACUCAUCAAAGUUGGGUCAUUAAAGUUAAUUUCCUUUUUAUGUUUACUUGACGGGAACAAGAUCACAACUAUUGACGCUUUAAAAAGAAACAUUAUAUGGUCUCUGUACAAAUGGUAAUCUACUGUAUUUUGUUUUUCUUGUUGUUUAAUUAAGAAGUUAAAUUAACAAGUGCUUUAAUGUGGUAUUGUUAAAUUAACAAGUGCUUUAGUGUGAUUUGAUAUGAAUGAUAGCAGUUUUGCGGGUUUUAUCAUUUAGACGUAUUGAUGAUUUGAACGAAAAAUAAUUUCCUUUCACAGCUUGGAGAUUUCCCAUUAUGUUAAUGGAUGCCUCUUUCUUUCUGCAUUAUAGGCAUUUAUAUUUCUUUAUAGUUGUUAUUGUUCCCAACUACCGGUAGAAAGUACCAAGGUUUGGCUGCUUUUUGGUAAUGCAGCUUCGGUUUUGGUUUGCCGAGUUUAUGGGGACCCUAAAAUAGCCGGAGGAAAUAAUUACUAUUGGCAAGCUUGCGGGUACUUGAAAUGUCUUCCUUAGACCCACCCAAUGGAGAGAUUGGUUGAGAAGCUGGUGAUAGAGGUGUCCUAUUUGAUGCGGGAGAUGCUAGAAAUGAUACACGUUAUGGGGCGAAUGGUGAUUUGAUACUGAAUCUGAGGUGGGACGUCAAUGGGAUUUUUUAUUUGGUUGUAGUGAUGGCGGUGAUUUCGAGAUUUUUAGGAAAUCUAUACUAUGUAAGUCAUAAUGCGAUUACUAUGUAUGCUAUAAUUUUAGCUGCAUCAAAAUUAAUUAUAGCAUUUUGGCUUUUGUACAGUGCUUGGCUCAUGUAGUGAUUUUGAUCUCAUCAAUCAUAGAUGAUUUUUUUUAUGCA